GUGGUGUAGCGGUGAAAUGCUUAGAUAUCACGAAGAACUCCGAUUGCGAAGGCAGCUUGCUGGACUGUAACUGACGCUGAUGCUCGAAAGUGUGGGUAUCAAACAGGAUUAGAUACCCUGGUAGUCCACACAGUAAACGAUGGACACUCGCUGUUGGCGAUAUACGGUCAGCGGCUUAGCGAAAGCGUUAAGUGUCCCACCUGGGGAGUACGCCGGCAACGGUGAAACUCAAAGGAAUUGACGGGGGCCCGCACAAGCGGAGGAACAUGUGGUUUAAUUCGAUGAUACGCGAGGAACCUUACCCGGGCUUGAACUGCAGCGGAAUUAUCCGGAAACGGAUAAGCGAGUAAUCGUCGCUGUGGAGGUGCUGCAUGGUUGUCGUCAGCUCGUGCCGUGAGGUGUCGGCUUAAGUGCCAUAACGAGCGCAACCCUUAUAUCCAGUUACCAUCAGGUUAUGCUGGGGACUCUGGAUAGACUGCCGUCGUAAGAUGUGAGGAAGGAGGGGAUGACGUCAAAUCAGCACGGCCCUUACGUCCGGGGCUACACACGUGUUACAAUGGGGGGUACAGCAGGCCGCUACCUGGCGACAGGAUGCCAAUCUCCAAAACCCCUCUCAGUUCGGACUGGAGUCUGCAACCCGACUCCACGAAGCUGGAUUCGCUAGUAAUCGCGCAUCAGCCACGGCGCGGUGAAUACGUUCCCGGGCCUUGUACACACCGCCCGUCAAGCCAUGAAAGCCGGGGGUACCUGAAGUGCGUAACCGCAAGGAGCGCCCUAGGGUAAAACCGGUGAUUGGGGCUAAGUCGUAACAAGGUAGCCGUACCGGAAGGUGCGGCUG
rnacentral:rRNA from 1 species